rnacentral:lncRNA from 1 species
CGCUCGAAACCCUCCCCAGGCCCGUCCACCCUCCGACCCGACCCGGCCGAACACGGCCCCUCCGGCCUUCUCCGGCCCCUGACCCGGACUCCCCUGGGAUCGCCGCCCCACGACGAGCCUCCCUCUGGUGUCGCCUUGCCUCGCCGCUGCUCCGAAAGCUGGAUCGAAGCCCCUCCGAACCUAAGUUUCGACCCGAUCGGAUCUUGGUCGUGCCGGCGUUGCAUGGGCCGAUCCUCUCG